rnacentral:lncRNA from 1 species
GUUGGUCCUGUCCUUUUCUGAAGCCCCCGUGCUCUUGACCACUGUAGACUCAAGCAUCACCUGUUUUACACUCAUCCAACAAACAUUUUCUUGAGGUGGCACUCAUUAUGCACCUCUGUUCCCAUUCUGCAGGUGGCGAAGCCCUCUACUGACCCCACAGUUCCUGUCCCAUCACCAGGGCCAGCUUGCCAAGGAGCUACAGCAGCACAUAGUCAGUGACAGCCCCAUGCAAGUACCUGAGGAAGCCAAGACUGACCAUGAGGAACCCUUGGACCUCAGGAAGGACAGAGUGGCCCAGAAGCAGGGACAGGGAGCUGGUUGGGGAGGACCAGAAAUCAGAAGGUCUGUGAAGGUUCUAGAGAGGACCUGUCUUUGGAAUGGCACAUGGGGGUGGGGAAGCGGGCAUUGGAAGAAUGUGGGCAUCAUGUGGAAUG